AGAAGAGAAGAGAAGAGAAGAGAAGAGAAGAGAAGAGAAGAGAAGAGAAGAGAAGAGAAGAAAAGAGAAGAAAAGAGAAGAAAAGAGAAGAAAAGAGAAGAAAAGAGAAGAGAAAAAAGGAACGAGAAUAAGAAAGAGUAAGACAGAAGGAAGGAAGAUUUGGGGCUGAAGAAAUGGCUUAGCAGUGGAGUACUGAUGCUCAGAGUCCAGAAGACUCUGCAUUACAUGACAGUUCACAACUGUCCAUAACUCUAGUUCCAGGAGGACACCCUCACACCGACAUAGGUAGAUAAAACACCAAUGCACAUAAAAUAGAAAUAAAUGAAUCGUCAGAGCUCCACCUGCCUGCCUCUAUCUCCUAAAUGCUGGGAUUAACUGUGCACACCACCAGGAUGAUCUAGAUCUAAGACUGAUGUUCUUAAAUCUUUUAAAAUUAAGGGAAACUUCUAUGGAUUAAGCAUGGUUGCUACCUAGCAUGAUGUCAAUUACACAAACUCCAUCUCUAUUCUAACAAAGAUUAAGUUCCUGCUUUGACAUACUGCCAUUAGUGGUAAAAUUAGAUUCUCUGUAUUAGUUAUUCAAAUCUGGUUUGUACAUGAACCUGAAAAUGAUAGGGAUUUUUACAUUUCUCCUUUUGAACUUUAUAUACCUUCCCCCAAAAUAAGACCUGUAUUCUUCCAAUGAGAAAUUACUCAGUCCUACUUAAGGUACUAAUAAUUAAAUAUUGACCUUCAUGUCCAUGGUAGCAAGCCCAUGUUUUAGUUUAUCAUUCUAAGUGACAAAUCAUAAUAAGUGUAUUAUUACCCUUCAAAAAUAACCACUGUGUUGGGUGUGGUGGUAUGCACCUUUAAUUCCAGCAGAUUUAAUCCUGGCAGAGGCAGACAGAUCUCUGUGAGUUCAAGGCCAGCCUGAUCUUCACAGUGAGUUCUAGAGCUGCCAAGGCUAUGUAAAGAGUCUCUGUC
rnacentral:lncRNA from 1 species